GCUGGGCACCGUGGCGCAUGCCUGUAAUCCCAGCAGCUCGGAGGCUGAGGCAAGAGGAUUGCGAGUUCAAAGCCAUCCUCAGCAGUAAGGCAGCAAGACCCUGUCUCUA
rnacentral:sRNA from 1 species